rnacentral:rRNA from 1 species
AUCGAACGCUGGCGGCAGGCCUAACACAUGCAAGUCGAGCGGAGCGGCGGACGGGCGAGUAAUGCCUAGGAAUCUGCCUGGUAGUGGGGGAUAAAGUCCGGAAACGGGACCUAAUCUCGCAUACUAUCAAUUGACCCUAGGUCGGAUCAGCUAGUUGGUGGGUUAAAGGCCUACCAAGGCGACGACCCGUAACUGGUCUGAGAGGAUGAUCAGCCACACUGAGACUGAGACACGGUCCAGACUCCAACGGGAGGCAGCAGUAGGGAAUAUUGGGCAAUGGGCAAAAGCCUAAUCCAGCAAUGCCGCGUGUGUGAAGAAGGUCUUCGGAUUGUAAAGCACUUUAAGUUGGGAGGCGUUACCAGCAGACUAAGCACCGGCUAACUACGUGCCAGCAGCCGCGGUAAUUC